GUGUCAGCCGCCGCGGUAAUACAGAGGGUGCGAGCGUUGUCCGGAAUCACUGGGCGUAAAGGGCGCGUAGGCGGCGCGGUAAGCGUGCGGUGAAAGCCCGGGGCUCAACCCCGGGUCGGCCGUGCGGACUGCCGGGCUGGAGCACUGUAGAGGCAGGUGGAAUUCCGGGUGUAGCGGUGGAAUGCGUAGAGAUCCGGAAGAACACCGGUGGCGAAGGCGGCCUGCUGGGCAGUGGCUGACGCUGAGGCGCGACAGCGUGGGGAGCAAACAGGAUUAGAAACCCGCGUAGUCC
rnacentral:rRNA from 1 species